rnacentral:rRNA from 1 species
UACGUAGGGUGCAAGCGUUAAUCGGAAUUACUGGGCGUAAAGCGUGCGCAGGCGGUUUUGUAAGUCUGUCGUGAAAGCCCCGGGCUUAACCUGGGAAUUGCGUCCGAAACUAUGGAGCUGGAGUGUGGCAGAGGGAGGUGGAAUUCCACGUGUAGCGGAUGAAAUGCGUAGAGAUGUGGAGGAACACCGAUGGCGAAGGCAGCCUCCUGGGCCAACACUGACGCUCAUGCACGAAAGCGUGGGGAGCAAACAGG